ACACUACUGACGCUGUCUAUGUCAGUCAUAAGACUCUCGUCCGUGUCCAAUGUGUGAAAUCCGCACUCAGUCGCCUUGUCUGUUAUCAAAAGCAACCAAUGAGCCGCGGUGAAUAGGCAUAAUGCGACUCGGAACGGGUGGCUCCCCCGCGAGGUUAAUCGAUUUCGGCAAGUGUUUCUACCUGACUAACCUCUCCCCAGUCUCGAAUUAGUGAAGAGCCGGCGUAUGGACAUUUUUCCAGCAAACUUGCUAGCUUCAGUCAGCUGAGUGUCAUUUGUGUUCCUUGUAAAAAAAUAAAAAUAAAGAAAAAUCUCUGUUGCUGGGAAACAGUUGCUGUAGACAGUAGAGAACAGAAGGAGAAAAGGACAAAUGGAGAUCUCAAACAUUGACAGUGUCAUUACUCCCAGGCCCAUAUUGUUUUGGCUGAUGUUGGGGAGAGUGGAGACAUAAUCCAUCAGCCCCUGAGACAGCUCUCCUGCCAGCAGCCCCUCCUGCCGUCUGGUGGAUGGCUGAGCUUUGACUCACCAGGGUGAACAGUCAGAGGACUAAAAUAGACCAGGGGUAAAACACAGCCUGUGACAGACCGUCGGGUUACAUGUUAGAUGACAAAACACAAUGUCUUACACCUGUCAGAAAACCCUUCAGGUCUGGUCUAGAUUCUGUACUGGGACACCUGGGUUGGAGAUUAAAUGUAUACAUCACAAGAAAAACAUUUAUAAAACUGUGUUGAAUAUUGGUUGUGCCAAUUCCAAAUAGUUUACUAUACGAAGAACAGGGUGAUAUUUGACCAAGAUCUUAUUAAAAUUUAUAUUUUUAACUCUU